rnacentral:rRNA from 1 species
UGCAGUCGAGCGGAUGAAGGGAGCUUGCUCCUGGAUUCAGCGGCGGACGGGUGAGUAAUGCUUAGGAAUCUGCCUAUUAGUGGGGGACAACAUUUCGAAAGGGAUGCUAAUACCGCAUACGCCCUACGGGGGAAAGCAGGGGAUCUUCGGACCUUGCGCUAAUAGAUGAGCCUAAGUCAGAUUAGCUAGUUGGUGGGGUAAAGGCCUACCAAGGCGACGAUCUGUAGCGGGUCUGAGAGGAUGAUCCGCCACACUGGGACUGAGACACGGCCCAGACUCCUACGGGAGGCAGCAGUGGGGAAUAUUGGACAAUGGGGGGAACCCUGAUCCAGCCAUGCCGCGUGUGUGAAGAAGGCCUUUUGGUUGUAAAGCACUUUAAGCGAGGAGGAGGCUCUUCUAGUUAAUACCUAGGAUGAGUGGACGUUACUCGCAGAAUAAGCACCGGCUAACUCUGUGCCA